CGGAUGCGAUCAUACCAGCACUAAAGCACCGGAUCCCAUCAGAACUCCGAAGUUAAGCGUGCUUGGGCGAGAGUAGUACUAGGAUGGGUGACCUCCUGGGAAGUCCUUGUGUUGCAUCCCUC
rnacentral:rRNA from 1 species